rnacentral:lncRNA from 1 species
CAUGGGAGACCAGCAAAGCCAGAUUCUGGCUUCUUUGGAAAAAUUGACCAAAUGUUUAUAUAAACAUUUUAAAAAUAUUGGCAGCAAGUCAUUUAAACAAACAUGAGCCCAUGCAUGUGCAUACACACACACAACUCCUUAUAUGAGCAAAUACUACAUUUUUGAAGGAUCGAUUAAGCUCUCUGGUCCCCCAGUUUAUGGUAUCUGUCCUACCUCGCCUAUUUCUCGUUUAUUAUAUCCACCAGGAAGCCAUACGAUAGUCCAAAAGUUCCAAUGGAGCCAUUAUUAAAUUUAUAUUAGAGUUACAAGCACAUUGCAAAUCAAAAUUAUCCUCAAACCUACGCCUAGUUUCAGUUGCCUGAAAAGAGCCACAAGCUUUCACAACAAAAGCAUCCACUUUAUCCCAUGUUCAGUACCUGCAAAUGAACAAUAAAACACCAUCAUGGCCACUAAGCGGGUCUAGUCUGUGGCAGUGACAGCAGCUCUUGGGUUCAAUUAGCCCAUGUUUUGCCAGAUCCACAAACUAGUAAACAUUUCAUAAAAGGUAGAUCACAAAAGCAAAAAAGCAACUGCAGGAACCACUAUCCCUAUAACCUUUCUCGUCCCUCUUUCCCCUUCAAGUUUGAUGAUUUGGCAGUUCUGGAACUCUUCCGAGAGAAGUCAAGACUCACUCUGCCAGCCCCAGCUGUUCAAAGCUCAGCCCAAUCUGUUCCAUAUAGUUGGCUGUAUUCUAACAAUAAUGUGGCUACAGUUCACCUUCAUUUGCUGCAAAGAUCAUUAACUAUCCCUCAGAGAGAUAUAGUAUUAAAGAAAGAGAGUGCUCGAGGCAUAAUAAAUGGAAGUUCCUGGGUAACAUAGUUCAAAAGAGGUAGGAUGAUGCCAGCAAGGCCACCUGACAGUUCCUAUAGCCAGAGAAAAGGGAAGAAUACAGGGGCAGGAAGGAGGCAAAAUCAGAAAGAGAAAUAAGAAAAGCCAAUGUGCCUGGCAAGAGUGUAUGUUCAUGUGAGCAGAAAAUAGAGGAAAAACAGAACAUUUGAAAUAAAGACACAAGGACAUUUCAUGUUAAGUCACAGUGGUGACAUGAUCCUACUUGUCUGGCAGCUCAAACAUUCUAUGACAGAGGUAGAAGUGAAUUUGGAAGGAGAGUGAGAGCAGAGAGAAUGAAUUACAAUCCUAUACAGGAAGAAUGCAGGAUCCCAGACCUUUUUUAGUACCGUGAAAGAUACUGCAUUAAAUGAAACCUGUAUUUAAAUCAUGUAUCUGACCUCCCAUUCAAAAAACUGCUGAAUUGCAGUGUAGAGUAGGCGUGUUUCUUCAUUCAACUCAUACAUUCAGUUAUUAAAGUCUUGCAUUAGCCUUAUUUGAGUCUUUUUCUCCAACCACUCCCUCUUUUUCCCCCAAUAAGCCAGCCCUGUGAAAACACCCAGUGAUCAGAAUGGCCACUUCAUAGGAAGUUCUGCGUGUUUAAUAUAAACACCUGGGAGUUCUUCAGUUGAUAAUGACAGCAUCAAAGUCCAUACUUGUUGUGAGUGAGUUGUAACUGUUAUAUUAAUCCAAACUAAAUUCCAGUCAAUAACGGAGAGAGAAUUGGUGGCUAAAUGGGAGUUCCAGUGGCAGACUUCAUUGUCUUAGGAUUUACUUUCUUCGGAAAUUCACAGGGUAAUAUUACAAAAUAAACAAACAAACAACAAAAACAAAGCUCCAUACGUGACAUCUUUACUAUUUUCUUUACCUUCUUUUCCUUUGUUGAAUCAAUCCCUAGAACAAUGGUUUUCAACUGGGGGCAAAUUUCUCCCCCACAGAACAUUUAUGAUUGCCACAGCUGGGGAGAGGAAUUAUACUACUGGUAUCUACUGGGUAGAGGCCAGGGGUGCUACCAUAUAUUCUGCAAUGCACUGGACAGCUUCCCACAAUACUGAAUGAUACAGCCCCAAAUGCCAGGGAACAGAGGUUGAGAAGCCCUGCUGAGAGUCAUUUCAGGUAUCAAACUUCCUUUUUUGAUAUACAAUAUGGAUUUUAGGAGUGGUAGAAUGGGAGCUGUUUGUUUUGUUUUGAGCACGGCUCACUGCAGCCUCAACCUCCCUGGGCUCAAGCAAUUCUCUCACCUUAGCCUCCUGAGUAGCUGAGACUACAGGUACAUGCCACCAUGCCUGGAGAAUUUCUGUAUUUUUUCUAGAGAUAGGGUUUUACCAUGGUGGUCAGCCUGCUCUCAAACUCCUGGGCUCAAGCCAUCCUCCUGCCUCAGUGCUGAGAUUACAGGCAUGAGCCACCAUGCCUGGCUGGAAGCAUUUUCAAGUAACAUUCUGUUAUCAUUAAAAUACCUUGUCUCCACAAGGUAAUAACGCUUAACAUAAAAGGAAAGGAAGGCAGGCGGCAGAAAUUUAAAAUGAACUUAGAAUCACAAUGGAACCCUGGUAAAUCCCAAUAUAGCACCAAACUUUGCACAAGCCUUCAAUCAGUGAUUUAAUUAUUAAAAUGCUUCCCAUUGCCAAAAAAAAAAAAAAAA